AUCCUGGCUUAGGAUGAACGCUGGCGGCGUGCUUAACACAUGCAAGUCGAACGGAGUUUUAACGGAAGUUUCGGAUGGAAGUUAGAACUUAGUGGCGGACGGGUGAGUAACGCGUGGGUAACCUGCCUCAGUACAGGGGGAUAACAGUUAGAAAUGACUGCUAACACCGCAUAAUAUAGCGAAACCGCAUGAUUUUGCUAUCAAAUAUUUAUAGGUAUGAGAUGGGCCCGCGUCUGAUUAGCUAGUUGGUGGGGUAAAAGCCUACCAAGGCGACGAUCAGUAGCCGGCUUGAGAGAGUGACCGGCCACAUUGGGACUGAGACACGGCCCAAACUCCUACGGGAGGCAGCAGUGGGGAAUAUUGGACAAUGGGGGAAACCCUGAUCCAGCGAACCGCCGCGUGAGUGAAGAAGUAUUUCGGUAUGUAAAGCUCUAUCAGCAGGGAAGAUAAUGACAGUACCUGACUAAGAAGCCCCGGCUAACUACGUGCCAGCCGCAGC
rnacentral:rRNA from 1 species